rnacentral:ncRNA from 1 species
GUAAAGGUAUUGAUGAAGAGGAGUACAUUAUUCCAACCGCCAGAGAGAACUGCCCGGAGAAUUUAAGGAAGCUUUGCAGGAGAUUGAGCAAAAGAUGAAGAAGAUCCGGCUGAAAGGCAGUUUCGGAAAAAGGAUGAUGGAAGGUAGCUUCUGAACCGGAUGAUUGAACGAUUGAAGUAGGUUAUCCCGGAGUAGUUCCCGUUAUAGAAUGUGAGAGAUAUAUGUGUGACAGCAUAUAUGAAAUAAGGUGGUACCGCGGAGAAUUCGCCCUUUAC